CGUGCAAAUGUUUGCAAUAUAAAAAAAAAUGUAAACAUUAAUGUUUAGUGAACUUCAAACUACUGCAUAAUAUUUAUGCAUAUAAAUAACCAAACAUCAAGGCAAGCUGUGUAGCCACACAAUGCACAAUUGCAUCAAACUGACAUUGAGGUAUGUCAACUAAAGUUGCUGCCUGAACAAAAAUAAAAUUAAACACUGAAAGUAGUACCUUUUAUAAGAAAUAAAUAAAAACUAGUAGGCCCGAGUCCCAUACAAUCUCAAAAUGGCUCAACAAAACAUGGUUCCUGCAACCUUUCAAAGGUUUUUAGCCAAAAACACCAGCCUAUUGACAUGAUCAGGCUUCAGGGAUGCACGCAGGCAGUUGACAACAUUUCCACCAGUACUAAAGACCCUUUCUGAUGAGGCACUUGUGGCUGGGAUGCAAAGAUAUUUCUUUGCCAGGAUGGAGAGUCGUGGGAAGAGGUUCUGUGAUAGCUUCCACCACCCCAGUGGGUCUUCCUCUGUGUCCAGGGUCCCUGCCUGGAGGUAGGCCUGAAGCUCAAAAGCUAUGGCCUGGUCCAGUUGAAUAGCAUGUUCUGCACCUGGAGCUGUGCUGUGAGGGGCCUUAAAGAAGCUGCUUAGGCCCUUUUUUCUCUUCUUUUGGUUUGAUGCACCAUCAUCAGCAACCUCCGUGUUACCAACGGGUGUCCCCAUCACUGCAGCCUCCUUUAAUGGGACAAAUAUAAAAUGACAGCAACACAGAACGAGGAACCAGUUUUAUCUGUCUCGGGUUUGGCAUUCUAAAAUACAAUCCUUAAAUAAUUACUAUAAAUUCAUAAAGUCAUCAUCUUGCUCAGCCAAGAUUGAGUUGUUAAUAGGUGGAGUGUUGGUUUUAUUAAAGACACACUCACAUAUUUCUCUCCAGAAAGUGCAUCAGUGAAUUCAACCAGAGGUCCCAAGGUCUUGUUGAUGGCCUCAAGGACAUGAAUGUCCUGCCAUGAGGGGAUGAGGUGCCUGGUUCCUUUGUCUUGGGAGAGGACAUGGGCAAUGGCCUUCUGCAGCUCAAGGACUCUGGAAACCAUGGCCUGCCUAGAUCCCCAUCUGGUUGGACAUUCAGUCUUUAAGGAGUGGUCUGGCAGUUUGAGGUCUAUCUGUGCCCUUUUCAGCUCUCUCUUUUUUUUCCAACUGAAUGAAAAGGUGCUGACCACUUUUUUGCAGACCCCCACUGCACGCUCAAUCCUGUGAUCUUUCAUGGCUCUUUCUAUAAAAACAUAAAAAAUAUAAACAAGCAUUAUCAGGAUGAUGAUUGUCAUUUCCUUGAGUGUGAAUGAAUAAGAAAAAGUGAUGGUAGCUUAUUUAUGUGUUUGUAUAAUUCAUAGAAAAUGUGUAUGACUGUGAGAAUGAAU
ensembl:lncRNA